rnacentral:snRNA from 1 species
ACUGGCUUGUGGCAGCCAA